UACGAAGGGGGGCUAGCGUUGCUCGGAAUCACUGGGCGUAAAGCGCACGUAGGCGGCUUUCUAAGUCAGGGGUGAAAUCCUGGAGCUCAACUCCAGAACUGCCUUUGAUACUGGAGAGCUCGAGUCCGGAAGAGGUGAGUGGAACUCCGAGUGUAGAGGUGAAAUUCGUAGAUAUUCGGAAGAACACCAGUGGCGAAGGCGGCUCACUGGUCCGGUACUGACGCUGAUGUGCGAAAGCGUGGGGAGCAACAGG
rnacentral:rRNA from 1 species